rnacentral:lncRNA from 1 species
ACCAAAUAUAGUCGGGCCUGGCUAUUUUUAGCCGGGCCUCGGGCGCGAGCGCGCCGCGUGAGGGGGCGCCCUGACCCCGCGGGGAGUGCGGAGGGGGCGGGGGUGGAGGCGCCAUCUUGGACUCGGCUCGACCCCGUCUGGUGACCGGCGACGCUGGGCCAGGCUCGGCGCAGGGGGUCGGGAUCAGAGCAAGUGAGGAACUCAGCAGAGUCAGGCGAAAGAAGGAGGGUACUAUUAAUAUUUGGUGCCCAUUCUGUUGCUGUGCCUGUUUCGGCUUAGGUAAGUAGGUACACUUUCAGUUUUAAUGAUCUCAUUAGAAUUUUUUUCUCCAAGAAUUUGUUGUUCCUGAAGUACUACAUUUUUCAUAAAA